rnacentral:rRNA from 1 species
UGGGGAAUUUUGGACAAUGGGCGCAAGCCUGAUCCAGCGACGCCGCGUGAAUGAUGAAGGCCUUCGGGUUGUAAAGUUCUUUUGGCAGGGAAGAUAGUGACGGUACCUGCAGAAUAAGCACCGGCAAACUCUGUGCCAGCAGCCGCGGUAAGACAGAGGGUGCUAGCGUUGUUCGGAAUCACUGGGCGUAAAGGGCGCGUAGGCGGCUUUGUAAGUCAGAGGUGAAAUCCCAGAGCUUAACUCUGGAACUGCCUUUGAUACUGCUUAGCUAGAGUCUGAAAGAGGGUAGUGGAAUUCCUAGUGUAGAGGUGAAAUUCGUAGAUAUUAGGAGGAACACCAGUGGCGAAGGCGACUACCUGGUUCAGUACUGACGCUGAGGCGCGAAAGCGUGGGGAGCAAA